rnacentral:rRNA from 1 species
GCACAAGCAGUGGAGUAUGUGGUUUAAUUCGACGCAACGCGAAGAACCUUACCAAGUCUUGACAUCCUGCGACGAUGCUAGAAAUAGUAUUUUCCUUCGGGACGCAGAGACAGGUGGUGCAUGGUUGUCGUCAGCUCGUGUCGUGAGAUGUUGGGUUAAGUCCCGCAACGAGCGCAACCCUUAUGGUCAGUUACUACGCAAGAGGACUCUGGCCAGACUGCCGUUGACAAAA